UACGGGGGAUGCAAGCGUUAUCCGGAAUCAUUGGGCGUAAAGCGCCUGUAGGUUGUUUAAUAAGUCUGUUGUUAAAGACUGGGGCUUAACCCCAGGAAAGCAAUGGAAACUACUAGACUAGAGUAUGGUAGGGGUAAAGGGAAUUUCUAGUGUAGCGGUGAAAUGCGUAGAUAUUAGAAAGAACACCGGUGGCGAAAGCGCUUUACUGGACCAUUACUGACACUCAGAGGCGAAAGCUAGGGUAGCCAAA
rnacentral:rRNA from 1 species